ensembl:lncRNA
GUCCUAAGUGUGGUAGAAGUGCUAAUGAUGAAUUAUUAAAGGCCAUAAUGAAUGGCCAUGAAUACUUAAUGACACCACGAUAUUAGUAUUGCCGAUGAAUAUCUACAGACUUGACCAUCUCUCUGGGGACCUUAGGGAGGAGCGUGGGCUUUUUGUUCCUUUCGGGUUUAGACCUGAGACGGGGUGAGAGAGGUGACCAGCUGUCGUCUCGCUGUCUCCCUGGCUCCGGGUGCCUGGUUCUCUCCGGACUUCUGACGCCCUGGAUUCUCUGUCCCCCGCUGACCACACUUGCAGUCUCCCCUACCUGCGAUGGGGGAGCCGAACAGUCAGUCACCUUCCCUCCCGGCCUCGGCUUCUCAGGCAGGUGGGAAGGAGCAGGCAGAAGGUGAAGGAAAAAAGAAGGGAGGGAGAAGAGGAAGGAAGAGGAAGCAAGAAUUUAAGAAAAAAAAAAAAAGAAAAAGCUUCAAAAGGAGUAGGCAGGAGGCAGGGGCACAAUGGCUCCCCAAGCCACCCCAGCCCAGGGGUGUUGUGGUCUGGGGAUUCAGGAGGUUGAGGCACCCAGUCCGUGGUGAGCAGGGCCGGGCCUCCUUCCUUCCUGAGAGCACUGUGCAAGCGCCUUCCCCACAGCUCUCCCAGGCAUCUGUCUCCCUCACUCCCCCAGGGCCAGGACAGCGAGCAGGGAUCCCGCCUUCCUCCUGGUCCCUCCCAGACCCUCGCCAGGCUCAGCAGACCCCUCUCCCGUUGCAUUGCUCCUUUGGCAGGAGCUCAGCAUGGGUGUGGAGGGAGCAGAGGCCAGACGACUCUUCAUGUCAGUCCAGGGAGAGGCCCCCAGGUCCUCCUCACGGGUUCCACUCCCCUCACCCUCCCAGUAUCCGUGAGCAUCCCACCGCCACCAACUGCAGGGCGUCCAGGGCGGUGGAGAGUGAAUGGGCUUGAAGGGGAGUGGGCAUAAGGUUUGGACAUCCCCAGGUGUGAAGGGUGUGUGUGUGUUGUGCACGUGGAUUGCCUGUAUGGUAUUGCAGGGGAGAAGAGAAUUUGGAAACGGUGCAAGGGAAUUGCAAGAGAUAGAAAAUAAAAGAGGAAAUAAAAAGGUUUGAGGUAUAAGAAGGGUGAGAGAAACGGGAGCAGGGCUAUGGAGGGAUCUAGAAGAAAAUAGUGGGGAGAGAAAGGGCAGGAAUGGAAGGCAAGCCCACCACCCCAAAGUCCCUUCCCCAUAUCUCCCCCUCCCCCAACUCCAAAGAAGGAAAUUAGGAGGCCACUGCGGAUUAUGUUUGGGUCAUUUCCACAUGCUUUAUUCCAGCAAUCAAAAUAAUUAAAAACAUCUCAAAUUAUUAUACACAUACAAAAUAGGUACAGAGUCUUUUGCUUCCUCCCACCCCUAGGGGGAAAAACUGCUUUGUGCUUUGGGAAGUUGUCUCUGAAACCCGGGGAGAGAGGACGCAGGACAGACUAGGAGAGAGCCGGGAGGAUGGGCUGCAGCUGUGGAGGAGGGUUUCAGAGGAGAGCGGUCAGAGAGCAGAGGCCUGAGAAGCCAGAAGCGGGUAGAGAGAGGGUGGAAAGUGAGCAACGGGCUGGGCUGGAGCCGCACACGCUCUCCUCCCAUGUUAAAUAGCACCUUUAGAAAAAUUCACAAGUCCCCAUCCACAAAAAAAAAAAAAAAAAGAAAAA